rnacentral:rRNA from 1 species
CACGUAAGGGGCAAGCGUUGUUCGGAAUUAUUGGGCGUAAAGGGUGUGUAGGCGGUUUCGUAAGCCCGGCGUGAAAUACUGGAGCUCAACUCCAGAACUGCGCUGGGAACUGUGAGACUUGAGUCAUGGAAGGGGAGUUGGAAUUCCAGGUGUAGGGGUGAAAUCUGUAGAUAUCUGGAAGAACACCGGUGGCGAAGGCGAACUCCUGGCCAAUGACUGACGCUGAGACACGAAAGUGCGGGGAGCAAACAGG